UACGUAGGGUGCGAGCGUUGUCCGGAAUUAUUGGGCGCAAAGAGCUCGUAGGCGGUUUGUUGCGUCGGCCGUGAAAACCUGCAGCUUAACUGUGGGCCUGCGGCCGAUACGGGCAGACUUGAGUUCGGUAGGGGAGACUGGAAUUCCUGGUGUAGCGGUGAAAUGCGCAGAUAUCAGGAGGAACACCGGUGGCGAAGGCGGGUCUCUGGGCCGAAACUGACGCUGAGGAGCGAAAGCGUGGGGAGCAAACAGG
rnacentral:rRNA from 1 species